UUAGGAAUUUUGGGCAAUGGGCGAAAGCCUGACCCAGCAACGCCGCGUGGGUGAUGAAGGCCCUCGGGUCGUAAAGCCCUUUUCCCAGGGAAGAUGGUGACGGUACCUGGGGAAUCAGCCCCGGCUAACUACGUGCCAGCAGCCGCGGUAAUACGUAGGGGGCAAGCGUUGUCCGGAUUUAUUGGGCGUAAAGCGCUCGCAGGUGGUUCGUUGCGUCGUGCGUGAAAGACCCCGGCUCAACUGGGGAGGGUCGUGCGAUACGGGCGGACUGGAGGCCAGUAGGGGGAUGCGGAAUUCCGGGUGUAGUGGUGGAAUGCGUAGAGAUCCGGAGGAACACCAGCGGCGAAGGCGGCAUCCUGGACUGGUCCUGACACUCAGGAGCGAAAGCGUGGGGAGCGAUCCGGAUUAGAUACCCGGGUAGUCCACGCUGUAAACGAUGAGCACUAGGUGUCGGGGGUAUCGACCCCCUCGGUGCCGCAGCUAACGCGCUAAGUGCUCCGCCUGGGGACUACGGCCGCAAGG
rnacentral:rRNA from 1 species